UUCCCUUUUAUACCAACUCUAAUUUCUAAGCAAGGACAAAUUUUCUGUGUUGUUCCUCCAUAUUUUCCCCUUCUUUCAUAAACACCAACCAUUGAUUUUCAAGACAAAAUCGAGCAAAAGAAGGAUUUUGAUUUUUAAUGUAAGUUGAAGCCGCGCUCCGUCUGUUACCGGCUGAAAUCAUUUUAUACAAAGACUUUGAAGAGAGGUUAAGGCAGUAAGCUUGGGAAGAGCUUAUGGCGGAUGUCGUGGUGCACGAAAUCUGCAGUCUCAAGCUUCGUAGGUAAGAGAAAGGAAACUUUGUAAUAGGAAAACACGCGUUGACAACAAUUUAGAAUACCGGUAGGUUCUGUGUUAGACUAUUUUCGAUGUCGUUAAGGAUCUCCGCCAGUACUGCUGUAGACUUGAGGGAAUCCAGUAAGGUUGUGGCAAAAAAAAAAAAAAUCAGUGAGGCGCAGGUUCCUGUUGAAGUGGUUAAUGGGCAAUGGAAAGGUGUUAGAUGUUACGCAAGUAAUUGAGAAGAAGGCUAGGCUUGCAUGGAGGUAGAGGAUAUUUUCUUUCCUUCUUUUUAUUUGCUUUAUGCACUACUUUUUCAAUUGAUGUCCACCUUUUCCAUGUGAGUGGUAGUGCUCAACAUCUUCCUAACUAAAGCCAUAUGUGCAAAUCAAAUGAUUUAUUAUUUUGGAAUGAUUUCUUAGUCAUGAACUUGACAAGUUCCACCGGCAAAUUCUCUUAUGAUAUAACCAUGUUUUGACUCU